UUUCUCUUCCUAGCAACCGAUCUUGGUUUGUUCGCUCAAGAACCCAAUCUGCAUCAUCUUGUUUAUAGCCAGCUACAAAUAUUUUGCAGCGUUUUACUAAACGUUUGUGAAGUGCUGUCAUAUACAACAUCUCGUAUGAUCCUUACAGAAGUCCCGAGGUAGGCAGAAGACUUGCUAGUAUACUCUUUAUGGACAAGAAAACGGAGAAAGUUUAAAGAGACUUGACCCAGCUUAACAAAAGUAGGAAAUGGGGGAACUUGAAAAUGACUCCAGGAUUUCUUAUUAAGCAGUAUAUGGUCAUUUAAAUACUACCACUGUUAAGGGUUUUAUCUUUUUAUUUUAUUUUUUCCUGUGUGAUCUACAGUGAGAAUCUGUUUUGCGUUGGUAUUCACGGCUUGUGUUGCUGACAGUUCCCUGAAAGAGAGGGCAGGUUGCUUUACUAGACUUGAAAAAGUUUACCUAAAUCAGAAAACAAAUCUGAUGAAGCAAGUUUUGCUCAAGAAGGAACUUGAGUAAGGAAGUGGAAUUUAUCUUGGUGGAAGAAAGCAAGUAUCCCUACAUACAAUGCAGUUGAGAGAGAAAGCUCAAAAGGUGAUGCCCAGACCUAGAAAAAGGAUCCUUUGAGGAGACCCUCAACUGGCUCUGAUAAAGCAAGCUAUCAUGUUGUGAAAUGCCCUGUGGAAAAGCCCAUGUGGCAAAGAACAGCCAAUAGCCAACAGAGAGCUGAUGCCCUCAGUCCAACAGCCUGCAAGAAACUGAAUUCUGCCAGCAACCAUGUGAGACUGGAAGCAGAUUCUUCCCUGCAGUCUUGUGAGAGAUCAUGAAGCAAAGGACUCAAGUUGUGUCCAGAUUCCUGACCCACAGAUACUGUGUGAUAAUCAAUGCAUAUUGUCUUAAACCACCAAGUUUGUGCAAUCUUUUGUGCAGCAAUAGAUAACUAAUACUCAAUAACCUGGAUUUUAAUAAGUCUAUAGUCAAUGUAUAGUUUCUUGUGAGCAAUUCUUUUUUGCCAUUUGUGGAAAAAAUUGCACAUUUUUUUGUUACAAAAUUAAAGCCUUUGUGUAUUUUGAAUCUUU